CAAACAUGCACAUAUGGGUCCCAUAUGGGAUGUUUCUGGGCAAACCCAUAUGGGUAAGCCCAUAUGGGAGUCAUUUGGGACCAAUAUGGGCUAGCCCAUAUGGGAAUGCCCACAAGGGUCCCAUAUAGGUCCCAUAUUAUUGCGCUAUCGGGAAAAUAUGUAAACUUGUAUUUAUUUGAUUAAAAACUCAUUUCUUAAUACGUAUGUAGGACUUACUUGAUCUAAACUGCUAAUAUUUUACCCAAAAAUAGAAAAUCGAUGCAUAAGCAAAUAAUAUGCGGCCCAUAUGGGUCCCAUACGGGUCCCAUAUGGGAGUUAUUUGGGAGCUAUAUGGGCUUGCCCAUGUGGGAAUGCCGAUAAGGGUCCCAUAUAGGUCCCAUAUUAUUGCGCUAUCACGAAAAAGAUGUAAACUAGUAUUUAUUUGAUUAAAAACUCAUUUCUUAAAACGUAUGCUGGACUAACUUGAUCUAAACUGCUAAUAUUUUACCCAAAAAUAGAAAAGCAAUGCAUAAGCAAGUAAUAUGCAGUCCAUAUAGGUCCCAUAUGGGUCCCAUUUGGGCCGCCCAACAAAGCACAAAAUCAGCUACCGGGCUGUUUCUGGGCAAACUCAUAUGGGUAAGCCCAAAUGGGAGUCAUUUGGGACCUAUAUGGGUUAGCCCAUAUGGGAAUGCCCUUAAGGGUCCCAUAUAGGUCCCAUAUUAUUGCGCUAUCAGGAUAAAGAUAUAAACUUUUAUUUAUUUGAUUAAAAACUCAUUUCUUAAAACGUAUGUAUGACAAACUUGAUCUCAACUGCUAAUAUUUUACCCCAAAAUAUAAAAUCAAUGCAUAAGCAAAUAAUAUGCAGCCCAUAUGUGUCCCAUACGGGUCCCAUUUGGGCCGCCCAACAAAGUACAAAAUCAGCUAUCGGGCGCACAUUUUUUGAAAAUUCUGUUUUUGAUAUUGCUUUGUUUUAAAUAAUGUAUAUACUAUGAUUAAUAUGUAGUUAUUUUCAAGAGAUAAUUUUAAUUUAAAUAAUCGCGCAGAAAAAUAAAGUAUUUAAAUAAUAUGCGCAUGCGCAGAUGUUAAUUCCGCCUCGCCUCGCAUUCAAAACAAAAACACUCGAAACGAAAAUAAAAUAUUCACCACCGCCUCGUUUGCCAACAUCGUCUUUACAAGGAAUGUCCAGCAGUGCAUGACAGAGGCCGGUCACUCCCAUUAAGUCCAGGCAGCUGAAGAGCCUUCCCAAAGACAGUUCAUAGGACAAAAUGCAGUUACACAGAUUUUAACGGUGUUGGAAACAAUGAGAGACGAGAACAGGGAAAUGAAGCGGAUGCUGCAGCAGCUCUUGGCUAGGUCAGCUACUGAUGACGAGCCAAUGCAACUGCCAGAGAACAUCAUUCUUCCAAUUGGAACAUUUGAGCAAAUGGAUGAGUUUGAAGAGCAUCUUGGUGAUGAAGCUACGAUCCAUCUUUUCUAGGACUGCUGCAUAGUUCAAGCUUUUUUAUCAAAUAUAUUAAGCAAUGUUGUAAAUGUAAUUGACAGUUUUUUCUCCAUUAAUCCUAAACCAUUCCUUUAAGCAGGGGUUUUUUUUACUAAGAAAGUGACGCCGAUAUUCGGCGUCUUCCCCUACCAGAAUUUUUUCCCUCAAAAUACAAUUUCCCCACCAAAAAUAUCAUUUUUCACUAAAUUAUAAUAUUUUCUCUCAAAGAAAUGUUUAUUUUUCCUUUGGGCAUUCGACAAUUAUCCAAUUUGCACCAUGUACAACGAUCUCGCUCUCUCUCUCUCUCUCCAGACGAACACAAAAAAUCUGGGAAUCCCAGUUAUUCUAAAUAUAGCUCUUAAAUUACGUCAUGUAAACUGGGCAACUAAUCGUAAUAAUCAUGUGACUAUUUUACUGGAUACCGGUCUUGCGCGAGAAGGGUGUUUCGUCAAUUUAUUACCGGAAACCAGUUGAAUUUUCAUCCGGGCUAUGUGCAAGCCAAGAUAUAAACGUGAAAACAGAAAAAAAAUGUCUCACAAUUGGCGUUCUUACACAAACAAAAUAAAACAUUCGGACUCGGAAGAUACUGAACGCAUCGAGGCAUUUUCUAAGAAAGAAUCAUCGAAAACCGUUAUAACCCAGCAGGAUUCUGAGGUAAUCAACAUCGAACAUUGUGAAAGUGAAAGUAGACAAUCGGCAGCUGCCGCUCCUUUCCCUUCCAAUACUGUAGCAGAUCAAGAUCGUCAACCCAUUCAUCAUGAAAUUGAAAUCACAAAAUUGACAUCGUCCCCCGGCCCCAGUACAGAAAUAUAGUUGAAAACAUUUCCCAUUAUCAAGAUCUACACCCAUCUAUUAAGAACUUUGACUUUAAUACGUGUUAAAUGUGUUUAAGAACAAAAAGGACAGAGACAAGCCUCUUUUAAUGAGUUAUAGACAUUGAAAUGAACAGUUUUUAUUUUUUCCCCUAAUUUGUCUCUUUCACACUCUUUUUUCCCCUGUCACCCAGCGUCCAGCGUCUUCCCCUUUCUCUAAAAAAAACCCCUGCUUUAAGGCUCAUCUUCUAAGAAAGCAAACAAUCUUUUUUAUCUGGAAAUGAAACGGUAUAUAUCCUUUGCAAAAGAAGAAACAGCAUUCCAGUUUUUGAAGGUUUUAAAAGACAUAUAUAUAUUUAUUUAUUUAUUUAUAUAUAUAUAUAUAUAUAUAUAUAUAUAUAAUAUAUAUAUAUAUCAUGUGCAAUUACGAAAAACACUAGAAUGUAUGAAGAUAUCAAAGAUUAUAAUAUGGACUUGUUCUCGAAAAAGGAUUUGCCAUUUAUUUCAGUUUUGGAUUUUUUUGCAGGGUUUUUUAUUUUGUAGUUUAUAAAAUAUUUUGUUUAGUCUUGCAAGUAUGUUUUCUACGAAUGUUCUUUGAGUACAUGGUGUGUUAUUUGUAUUGGUUAAAGAUUUAAUAUGCAUGGGUAUGUUUUGUAGUAAUGUGUAGUAAAUCAGGAAAAUACUUGAAGGUAUUCUGUAUAUGUAAAAAUAAUAGAAGUCCUUAAUUCUAUAGUCGUAUAACUGGUCGACAUAUAUAAUGUUAUAGAAAAACGUCUUAUUGUUUGAAGUUAUGUCUUUAUUGUUCCAUAAAAUACUGUUGGUUUGGGUUUAUAUAUUAUGAGUAACAUUACUCCAUGCGGAUAGAACAUUAGAUAGAAACAUGUUUUCGUUAGCUACUUUAUGUAAAAUAAUUUUGCUGAUGUUACAUUCAAAAAGUUAGGAAUCACCAUAUUAUUUUAGAAUUUUCUGGUAGAAUAGUUAACGUGGGAUCCUCCUGCUAUGUAUGUAUGAAUCCAUGUAUAUGUGUGUAAUACUUUAUGUGAAUAAAAGUUGAGAGUACUUUAAUAAA